rnacentral:miRNA from 1 species
CCCCUGGGCCGGCCUUGG